rnacentral:rRNA from 1 species
UACGUAGGGUGCGAGCGUUAAUCGGAAUUACUGGGCGUAAAGCGUGCGCAGGCGGUUUUGUAAGCCAGAUGUGAAAUCCCCGGGCUUAACCUGGGAAUGGCAUUUGGGACUGCAAGGCUUGAGUGCGGCAGAGGAGACUGGAAUUCCUGGUGUAGCGGUGAAAUGCGCAGAUAUCGGGAAGAACACCCGUGGCGAAGGCGGCACUCUGGGACGGUACUGACGCUGAGACGCGAAAGCGUGGGGAGCGAACAGG